rnacentral:rRNA from 1 species
UACAGAGGGUGCGAGCGUUGUCCGGAAUCACUGGGCGUAAAGGGCGCGUAGGCGGCCUGAUAAGUAGGGGGUGAAAUCCUGCGGCUCAACCGCAGGGCUGCCUUCUAAACUGUCAGGCUGGAGCACGGUAGAGGCAGAUGGAAUUCCCGGUGUAGCGGUCGGGAAUGCGUAGAGAUCGGGAAGAACACCAGUGGCGAAGGCGGU